GUGCGCAUGAUUGACAGGUCGUAUCAUACAGUGUGUACUCCUCUUUCUCUGAAACUCACCUUCGCUCUGCUAAUGGCCGCCUGAGGGGAGAGGGUCCGUCUGGGCCUCAUAGAUAGCGAAACUGUGUGUGCCUGUGUUUGUUUUCGUUUGGCUAUUUGUGUGUGCGGAGAGUUCGCCAGUGAAUUGGAGGGUUGGCUAGAGGCGAGAGCUCUUUCCACAUUAGGAGCGCAGGGGCAAUGGUGGACCAGAUGAAGGGACCAGGGAAUUUGGAGAGUGUUAAGAUUGUGAAACCAGAACAGAUGAUUGUUGUAACACUGUCCCAUUUCAUGCUUGCAGUAAACACCCAAGAAAAGGCAUUACUGGUGUUUGUCCUUAUUCGAGGUUGAUCCUUUGGUGCAUCCAGUGUUCCGCUACAGUGAGAGAGAAGAAGGGAGCAAGACAGAGCAUGUGAGAGUGAGAUAUGUCAUACCUGAUCCAGGGCUUGGAGUGGUAAAGAUAUUUGUGCAUGCAGAGGCUGGUGGUACUUUAAGAUGAAGAGAUUGUUCUCUGCUUUCUCCAGAUGAGCUGCUCCUCAUCUCUCUCUCAGUCUCUCUCUAUGUACGAGGAAAAACAUGGAGAUGAAAGGCAGCUGAAGUGUUUGAAAAAUGGACUUUGAAAUAGAAAAGGUCCUGAUUGGCCUGUGUAAGAGAUGAGAGAGUGGAUGAGAAAAGAAUAAGAUGCAAAAUGAGAAACAGAUGAGUAAUGCAGGAGAUGACUGGCCAACACCAGCCGUCCAUUAGAAACGGGCCGUUGUAUAGACUAUACUAAACAGAUGGAGAGGUGGAUAUGAAUUAAUCCAUUACUGAUAUCAUUUUGAGAGCCUUCCAUUUAAAUGUUUUCAUUGUGUGCUUUUGCUAAUAUCUCAGAGGGUGUACAAUACAGC
rnacentral:lncRNA from 1 species